GGAAAAGAAACCAACAGGGAUUGCCUCAGUAACGGCGAGUGAAGCGGCAACAGCUCAAAUUUGAAAUCUGGCCCUCUCAGGGCCCGAGUUGUAAUUUGGAGAAGAUGCUUCGGGUGCGGCCCCGGUCUAAGUUCCUUGGAACAGGACGUCACAGAGGGUGAGAAUCCCGUACGUGCCCGGCCGCCGCGCCCGUGUGAAGCUCUUUCGACGAGUCGAGUUGUUUGGGAAUGCAGCUCAAAAUGGGUGGUAAAUUUCAUCUAAAGCUAAAUAUUGGCCAGAGACCGAUAGCGCACAAGUAGAGUGAUCGAAAGAUGAAAAGCACUUUGGAAAGAGAGUUAAACAGUACGUGAAAUUGUUGAAAGGGAAGCGCUUGCGACCAGACUUGGGCGCGGCCGAUCACCCGGUGCUCGCACCGGUGCACUCGACCGCGCCCAGGCCAGCAUCGGUUUGGGUGGCUGGAGAAAGGCCCCGGGAAUGUAGCUCCCCUCGGGGAGUGUUAUAGCCCGGGGCGCAAUGCAGCCCACCCGGACCGAGGACCGCG
rnacentral:rRNA from 2 species